rnacentral:rRNA from 1 species
GAUGAACGCUGGCGGCGUGCCUAAUACAUGCAGGUCGAGCGAAUGGAUUGAGAGCUUGCUCUUAUGAAGUUAGCGGCGGACGGGUGAGUAACACGUGGGUAACCUGCCCAUAAGACUGGGAUAACUCCGGGAAACCGGGGCUAAUACCGGAUAACAUUUUGAACCGCAUGGUUCGAAAUUGAAAGGCGGCUUAGGCUGUCACUUAUGGCUGGACCCGCGUCGCAUUAGCUAGUUGGUGAGGUAACGGCUCACCAAGGCAACGAUGCGUAGCCGACCUGAGAGGGUGAUCGGCCACACUGGGACUGAGACACGGCCCAGACUCCUACGGGAGGCAGCAGUAGGGAAUCUUCCGCAAUGGACGAAAGUCUGACGGAGUAACGCCGCGUGAGUGAUGAAGGCUUUCGGGUCGUAAAACUCUGUUGUUAGGGAAGAACAAGUGCUAGUUGAAUAAGCUGGCACCUUGACGGUACCUAACCAGAAAGCCACGGCUAACUACGUGCCAGCCGCCGCCGUAA